rnacentral:rRNA from 1 species
AACAAACGCUGGCGGCGUGCCUAACACAUGCAAGUCGUACGAGAAAGGGUCCUUCGGGGCCUGAGUAAAGUGGCGCACGGGUGAGUAACGCGUGGAUAAUCUGCCCUUCAGUUGGGAAUAACUCAUCGAAAGGUGGGCUAAUACCGAAUAAUGCUGUGAGACCUCGGUUGAUCAGCCAAAGAGCGCAUCUGCUUGCAAGCACUCGUUUAAGGCUGAGUCCGCGUACCAUUAGCUAGUUGGUAGGGUAAUGGCCUACCAAGGCGACGAUGGUUUGCUGGUCUGAGAGGAUGAUCAGCCACUCUGGAACUGAGACACGGUCCAGACUCCUACGGGAGGCAGCAGUGAGGAAUCUUGCGCAAUGGGGGCAACCCUGACGCAGCAACGCCGCGUGAGUGAGGAAGGUCUUCGGAUCGUAAAGCUCUGUCGGAUGGAAAGAACCGCAUAGGGGUAAACAGCCCCUGUGUCUGACGGUACCAUCAAAGGAAGCACCGGCUAACUCCGUGCCAGCCGCCGCCGUAAUAC